UGCGGGAUUAACGCGUCCCAUUAGGAGCACCAGUCACUGCAGACACGUAACCUGGAGGAGCAGACUUUAGAAACCCCCCCACCACCCCCCACCCCGGGCAGGUGUGGUGCCACAGACUGCACAUGAUGAGUCAAUAAAACACACAGCCGACGGGAGUCCUAAACCGGGCCAGUCAUCAGCAUCCAGACAGUCCGUGCAGAUUUAUGAACCACCACACGGCAAAUACCUUUCACACCGGUUAUCUUAUGAAUAAUACACGUAGACGGAUUUGAUGAGCCCAUCUAAGGGGGGCCAUAAACUUAUUUUAUUUGCGACUCUGGGGCCGGUCUGCAGUGGCUCUGCUCUUCAUAAAAAUGGGAGCUUCGCUUCCCCCGUUUCAUCGAAGUGACACCAUUCGGGUAAUGGCGCACUAAUAUUUCACAUCAGCUCGGGGGGGUGGGGUGGGGGGGGGGCUUAUUUGCUGCGGCGAUGCCGGCAGAAAAUCUUACGCAAUGCCAGCAUUGUUCCACCUCCCACGGUGUUACUUGAAAGAUGGUUAUGAAAUAAGCCGUGGCGCUUGAUACGGAGAGAACUUUUAAAUACAGUGUGGGAGAGAAUCACACUAAUAUCACAGAGACCAUUUCAGCGCUCUUCUUAUUUCUGUAAAUCCACGACUGGUUCCGUAACUCGGUUCUUGCUUCGUGCAGAAGUGUCGAAUUGUCAUGAAACAGUCUUGAAAACGCAAGUACAAAAACAAAUUGUGUCAAUUUUGUUUGUGGUUACAUUGUUAAAUGUCAUGUGAUGUUAGAAAUGGGGACUGUACAUAAAAGGUGGAAGUCACUGUGAGUUUUGAAUGAAUUUAUUUUCAUCUCAAACCACGAGUGACGCUGGUUAACUUGGAUUUCCCCCCAAACAAUGCAUUAUGAAAUGUGUUAAAUCCACCAAAAGUUUUUUAAGACCCCAAAAACAAACCCUGAGGCACACACACACACACACACACACACACACACACACACACACACACACACACACACACAGGCCAAAACGGCUGUGAAUCCCCUGAGAGUAAAACAACGAGCAGGCAGUCGCAGGGCGGAUUUUCGGCACUCAUUAACUUGACGACUAUGAUCUUAGUGUACAUAGUGUAGCGCGGUGUGUAAGUGUGUGUCGCUGCAGGUGAAAGAGUGUGUCUGUGUGUUUGUUCUGUGUGUGCUUUGGACGUCACAACCGGCUGCGGCUUGAAACCACCGGCACACGAAACUCUGACCUCUGAUCUCCAGCCACGUAACAAUCCGCCUGACGACACGCACACAAACACACACGCACAAACACACACGCGCACAAACACACACGCACAGUACAUUUCCGUUUGUUUAUUUCAAAUAAUUCUGACUUGCGUGUAACAACAAUGAGAAAAGGUGAAUCCUGGAAUCGGCACAUUUAUUUGCUUCUUGUAUGAAAUACAAACAAAAUGUGUUUAUAAAUGUUUUGUUCUAAGCCCCUCCCCCCCAAAAAGGCCCAUCCUAGAUGAGUGGCCGUAUACAAGCCAGACGAGGGGGGGAAAAAAAGCGAUGGCGGCUACGAGAAAUUUGAAUCUGUUUGGUUUCACGCGAGUCUGCAGAACAGCUCGUUGGUGCGCGAUCGCUGGCAGAAGUGGUGAGAAGAAGCGGGGAGGCGGCGCGCCGAGCCCACGCGGCCACGCAGGAGGCCUGUGCCGAGGCUGACUCACGCCGCAGAGCCAGAAAUCAUCAAGUCAUGAAUUUCGUCUGCGUUUGGGCGUACAGGAGCACAUGUGAGUCACGACAGAGAGAGAGGGAGAGGGAGGGAGGGAGGGAGAGACAAAGACAGAGGACAAGCAAGUCUCGGGUCAGGCGCACAUUAGUUCCACGCGGUCAUUGGUGGUGACAGUCGAGUUGUCAGCGGAUCUGCAGUCGCGCCUGAACUCGACACACUUCUACUGUCUUCGUAGUGAAACACGCGCGCACGCCGACACGCUCCUGCCAUCUAUUUUAGAUCUGAAAUACAUUCUUGAGAUCCUGCAGAGAGAACUUUUUCAACUGAAUAAAUAAGAAGAAGCUCCUCCUUGAACCGUGUCCUAUAUUCGCAAGACUCGGAAGUCGAGGCUCCCUGGUCGGUCUGUGCCGAGCAGCCUUUUCCCCUCCUGGACUGAGGCACUGGCAGUGAGCGCCACCCUACAAUCCCCCCCCCCCCUCUUCAACCCCCCCAAACAAUAUUUGUCAGCGUAUAUUCUAUCACCAUGGCGACUGACACUCCAGCCCGGCGUUGCGCAACGCUCCGCUGAUGAACGGGGGAGGCUGCUGUAGGUGAGGGAAGGCGUAGCUGGGCCUUUUUGUGUGUCACUAUGGGUUAGAGGCCUCCGCCAUAUGGUCCCUUCUGGUGCCUCUGGGAAUUAAAAGAAAGGGUUUGGUGACUUUUUCUGUAAACUGUCCAUUUGUUUAGAUUCUGUUUAGACAUUUAGAUUUAGACGUUUAUAACGUUUGAUUGCUUUUUUUCUGUGAGUUGAAGCGGUGUUUUGGUUGCAGCAGUUGCUGCCAUGGUAACCGGCGGAGAGAGGCCAGUUGGGCAGGAUGGUCGUGAGCCCGGGCGACGUGCUGGGGAGGAGGAGGAGGAGGAGGAGGAUAGAUCACAGGUGCCAGAUUCUGUUUCUUUCCAGACAUAUUAGAGCGAGAAUCAAGGCCCGAGACGUAAACAGCUGUGAGACCUCCGCGUUCCGCGCUGCUGGCGACGCGGCUCGCGGUGCCGCGGCUCUCGCUGCAGACACCAAGCAUGCCUUAGAAAACAAACUCAUCAGUUCACAUACUAUAAAUCAAAUGUAGUGCACAACAUCCACCAAACGUAUUCAGCCCAGCAGCCUCCGCCCUCCUCUCGCUUCCCCCCAACCUCCACCUCCCCCCCCCCCGCUCUCUCUCAGGGUAGCUGGCAAAACACAAAGGAGAGAAGUGUGCAACUGGUGCGAUAAAGCAGGGAACAUCUCGCCAUUCAAACGUCAGCAUAAUAAAAAACCGGAGGCACAAUUAAGGGAGAAAAAUCCCCUAAAAACCAAGAGAACAAGAGCUUAGCGUUGCUUGGUCCAGCUGUGGUUUGUCCUCAGGACACAAGAAGAAGAAAAAAAAGGACAACAGAGCUUUUCUGUUUCUCCCCUCAUGGGAAUGCAAAUGAUCAGACACUGACAUACGGACAGAUUACAGAGCUUGUGUGUUUUAACCUCAGAUGUGCAGCUAUGAUGCAUCGGUGUGUGCAAACAUUACUCCCUUUGUCUGAAAUACCCAAAAGAACACAGUGGGAUAGUCAUAUAAAGUUGUGGCUUGGCAAAAUAGAACAAAGAGUCCAAAGUUGCUGAUACCUCUUAAAAUUCACAACUCUCGUAGAAUUAACAGCCAAAAAAAAGCAUAAGUUUGGAGUUUUUUCCCGGAGAGAUUCCUCGCCCUUAAACUGUCUCUCUGUUCUCACAAUCCCCCCCCCCCCCCCCCCCGGGGAGGCUGGUGCAAAGUCUGCCGCCGUCUGGCUGUUCCCAUGGCAACCACCAGGUGAGCAGACGGGCUCGGAAAAGCACGGCGAGGAACAUGUGACUCCCUUUCACAAGCUCAGGCAGAGCGCACACGCUCAGAUAACAGGGGGCAUCACCCUCCUGCACAAUGCGCACACACAAAAAGGCAACGGUGGGUGAGUUUGAAAGCAGAUGACCGGUCUGCCAGUCCGUCUGUUUGCCACUGUGUGUCCGUCUCACACACACAAACACACACACACACACACACUGCAUUGUGGAGUUUAGAAGAAGAGGAGCAUGCUGCCCCGGGGCAACUGAGAUGUGUCAUGGCCACUGAACAUCAAGUUCCGGUUCUGCUGCAACAGCAAAAGGAGAAGGAGAUGGUGGAGCAGCAGGGGGGCUGGAGG
ensembl:lncRNA